rnacentral:rRNA from 1 species
CUGACGCUGAGGCGCGAAAGUGUGGGGAGCAAACAGGAUUAGAUACCCUGGUAGUCCACACUGUAAACGAUGAGUGCUAGGUGUAGGAGGUAUCGACCCCUUCUGUGCCGCAGUCAACACAAUAAGCACUCCGCCUGGGGAGUACGGCCGCAAGGUUGAAACUCAAAGGAAUUGACGGGGGCCCGCACAAGCAGCGGAGCAUGUGGUUUAAUUCGACGCAACGCGAGGAACCUUACCAGGUCUUGACAUCCAGUAAAAGCAUCAGAGAUGGUGUGUGAGCUUGCUCAUACUGAGACAGGUGGUGCAUGGUUGUCGUCAGCUCGUGUCGUGAGAUGUUGGGAUAAGUCCCGCAACGAGCGCAACCCCUGUUCUCAGUAGCCAGCGGCCAGGCCGGGCACUCUGAGGAGACCGCCAGGGACAACCUGGAGGAAGACGGGGAUGACGUCAAAUCAUCAUGCCCCUUAUGAUCUGGGCUACACACGUGCUACAAUGGUGUCAGACAGAGAGAAGCAAACCCGCGAGGGGGAGCAAAUCUCAAAAACGGCAUCUCAGUUCGGACUGCAGGCUGCAACCCGCCUGCACGAAGCUGGAAUCGCUAGU